rnacentral:rRNA from 1 species
UACGUAGGGUGCGAGCGUUGUCCGGAAUUAUUGGGCGUAAAGAGCUCGUAGGCGGCUUGUCGCGUCGGAUGUGAAAGCCCGGGGCUUAACUCCGGGUCUGCAUUCGAUACGGGCAGGCUAGAGUUCGGUAGGGGAGAUCGGAAUUCCUGGUGUAGCGGUGAAAUGCGCAGAUAUCAGGAGGAACGCCGGUGGCGAAGGCGGGUCUCUGGGCCGAUACUGACGCUGAGGAGCGAAAGCGUGGGGAGCGAACAGG